GCCCCUAUAGCUCAGUUGGUAGAGCAGCUGACUUUUAAUCAGUGGGUCCCAGGUUCGAGCCCUGGUGGGGGCACCU
rnacentral:tRNA from 2 species